rnacentral:tRNA from 1 species
UCCCUGGAGGACUAGUGGUUAGGCCACAGCACUCUCACCACUGCAGCCUGGGUUCAAUUCCCAGCAAGAGAA